GACGAACGCUGGCGGCGUGCUUAACACAUGCAAGUCGAACGGAAAGGCCCUGCUUUUGUGGGGUGCUCGAGUGGCGAACGGGUGAGUAACACGUGAGUAACCUGCCCUUGACUUUGGGAUAACUUCAGGAAACUGGGGCUAAUACCGGAUAGGAGCUCCUGCUGCAUGGUGGGGGUUGGAAAGUUUCGGCGGUUGGGGAUGGACUCGCGGCUUAUCGGCUUGUUGGUGGGGUAGUGGCUUACCAAGGCUUUGACGGGUAGCCGGCAUGAGAGGGUGACCGGCCACCUUGGGACUGAGAUACGGCCCAGACUCCUACGGGAGGCAGCAGGGGGGAAUCUUGCACAAUGGGCGGAAGCCUGUUGCAGCAACGCCGCGUGCGGGAUGACGGCCUUCGGGUUGUAAACCGCUUUCGCCUGUGACGAAGCGUGAGUGACGGUAAUGGGUAAAGAAGCACCGGCUAACUACGUG
rnacentral:rRNA from 1 species